UUGCAUGAUUAUCUGCUACCUUUUUAUUAUCAUUAAAUAUGGAUGUAUGAUUUUUUAGUACUUAAAAAGUAAAGAUCAUCACUUUUGUCUUUGAUGUAUGCAUGAACUAGUGUAUGUGUAUCAUUUAGACUGAUAAUCACAUAUACUUUUUGUUUUUGCAUUUUACUAUAUAGUAUUUAGGCCUGCCUCGUGUCAAUUGAUGAAGUCUUCAGCUUCGUAAGCAACUCGGAUUUAUUAAAUAGGUAUUACGUACAUAAGAUACUAUCUUAUUUACUUACUUUCGUGUGUAUUUUAUCGUGCAAGUAAUAUGCAGUAGACUUGAGGAUUUUCGUAGGAAUCAGGCCUCUGGGCCUAAAGUUUGCAAAGCCUUUACGAAUCGGAAGAGCCUGGCAGAACAACAUGUUGAAAGUAUAAAUGUGUUGCAUAUUUUUAAUAAAUACUCUGAAGGAUACAUUAAGUAACUACGUUUGUAUUUCUCCGUGGAGGUUGAACCUAAGUAAUUAGUGUGACGUACAUGUCGCGAUCUGUCUCGGUACUUGUGGUUCCAGUAUUUUAAAGACCUAAACUUUUGAUAUUGGAAAACCAUUUUACUUGCCGGGGUUAAUAUUGGAGAUUUGAACUUCCGAGUCAGAAAGCAAAAAAUAAAAAACUUAAGUUGAAUCGCGGGUGAAAAACAAACAGCCGUUAAGAGCGACCCGGAUACUUUCCAUCUGGACGUGGUGGACUUUCGGAGAUUUAAACGGACGUCGAACUUUGUGCACAUUUUGUCAAUAAGUGAAACACGAGGACAGCCUUUAAAUGAAAGAUAACUUCGAAAUAGUUAUAAAUGUACUACUUUUUUAGAGUUGCGUUUUUCUGUGUUGAGAACUGCUGUAUUGCAGUUAAACGUGGCGGCACGUUUUUAUUUUGUUGUAGCUUUGUGCGUACUGUCUUUUGGAGAGACAAAUCCGAGGUCAGUUAGUGUGUCGUGAAUAGUGGUGGUUUAUAGAUUGAUGUGGCGGAAUAUAUUGAAAUUUCUGGGGGGAAAAAAAACAUUGGAGUAAGGAUACCCUGUUCUGAGGGUUUUCGAUUCUUCAACUUUGGGAACUUUUUGCAGUGUUUUGUUCAUCUUCUGCCACGUGGUGGCCUGGCCCCCAGGGGUGAGUCGAUCUUGGUUUUGUUGUAAUGACACACUAAGAUACCAUAGAUAUUGAGAUGUCAUAUAUCUGGCAUCUCAACUUCCCUCAUCGUCGCAUUUACCAGAAUGUCUAUUAAAUCAGGAGAUUUAUGGUAACUUUGUGGCAGCUGUUAAUGCCGCUUCAAUAGAGAUGAGAAACGUAUUCGGGAUUAGCACAGUUCAUGAAAGUAAAACGCGAUUCAACUAUAAGAGUGUACCGCUUUGCCCAGGGGUACUAAGUGACUGGUUCCGGUUCCCCAGCUUUCUCCGCAAUACUUUAUACAGGCAGUCCCCGGGUUACGUACGAGAUAGGGACUGUAGGUUUAUACUUAAGUUGAAUUUGUAUGCAAGUCGGAAGAGGUACAUUAUUUUAACAAAUGCUAUUGUUGACCGACUGUAACCAAGUGCACUGCCAAUGAAUGAUGGAGUUUCACCUCUCUGAACUUAUUAUUUCUACUUUAUUUUCCAUGGUGAUGGGUUUUCUCUUCUUCACUGUAUCACCAGCACUUGCAUCAGAUUUGUGUUUCAGAGACAUUCUUGAAGGGUGAAGACAAAAUGUUAAAAUGAGCUGUUCUGCACAGCACUGUACACGCUUAUCACAGCAGGAAGGUAUCCCUUGUCAGCAGGUCUGGUGUACCGACGAGAGGCAACUUCCUGCUAUGUAUGUAAUAGUACAAGCAGGGUUGCUAUUGAGAAUGAAUGGGGGCGGCGAGGGGCUAUUCACCACCCGCCCACCACACAGUCACCUCCACUUGCAUACAAUACAGCAGGGGUCCUGCAGCGGCUGCCCACCAAGAACGAACAGGGUGCGGCCAAAGGCGGGUUGUGAAUCACCCACCUCCGCCCCCCCAUUCAACAGGCAGCCACCCGAGACCCACUACAAUUGUUCCCCCCACCACCCCGUUCACCCUCAAUGGCUUCCGUUCAGCCACAACCGGGUCACUGCUUGCAGUAUCAUCAGGUGCCCACCGAGAACGAAUGGAGUGUGCGGGCAGUGAAAUGCCCCCCUCUGCCCCAUCCAGCCUCCGUCCAGUCAGGAGCAGUCGCUGUGGUGGUUGGCUGGGCGGGCAGCAAACCGCCCCAUCAAGCCUCCGUCCUGUACACAAGUGGUAGCUGUGGCCCAGGUCACGGCUUGACACUCACUAAGAAUGAAUGAGGUGCGGCCCCCGCCGUCCCAUUCAUCAACCGGAGCUGCCUGAGGGACACUACACUGUGUGAGCAGCAGAAUCAUCCCCAUCCAGCCACUGCAUGCUGCAGCAUCCCCAGGCCAAAGACGACAGAGCAGCAGUUACUGAGGCAUCUCCGUUGCAUCCCCCAGACAGAUGAAGGAGCAACUGUGGCCCUGUUCGUAUGUCGGAUGUCCGUAACUUAGGGACUACCUGUAGUUUCUUCCAAUUGCUUAGUUCUUUUUAGUGGAACAUCCUUCAUUGAGUAGUGUGUUUCCACAACUUUGCCUAACACAGGUAGCAUUCCUAAUUAAAAAACUGAAAUACAACUUUGGUAUGCAUGCUUUGCCACAUUUUCCUACCUUUUUAUUUUCUAAUUAUUUCUGAUUAAUCUCCUUAAAGAGAAAUAUAUGUGAGAUAGUGUUUGUUAGAUUUCCCCCACAGGAGUAAUUCCAAUUGGGUUUUAAUGCUGCACCAUUGUUAUGCUUCUACACUUUAAAAGAAGGAAAAAACAAGUAGUGUCAUUAAGGCAAACAUGAUGGUUCAAAGCAGGCACUGAUGAAAACCUGUUCUCACCAGCCCUCAGGGGUCAGGAUUAGGGCUGUGAAGUUUGCAAACAGUACUUUAGCUUGACUUUUGCCAUAAGAGUUUAAUAUUGUAAUGUAUUCUUAAAACCGUGUUGUGAAAACACAUUAAUAAUUUAAAAAGCUUAGUGCUCUGAAUCAUUAAUUUUUGUUGGGUUUAGCAAUGUUAUGGUGAUAUAACUCAAAAUGGGUCUGAAAUAUGCAUUUUUGGAAAUGCUGUAUCACUUUUGAGCAGCAUAUUUUAGCUAGCUUUUUUUUUUUUUUUUUUUUUAGUACUCUGCACAGUGUUCUGGGCUUUACCUACAGCAUAAAGAAAGAUCCUUUCAGACGUGGAUGAUGCACAGAAUGAGAAGUUACUACUCCAAGUGCCUUGGACUCCCUCUUCACACGGUUGCCGGCAGGUCUGGGUACGUUGACAUGUCUCAAGGUUACUGGUGUGUAGUUGUGGCUCAGUGCAAGUCUAACAUUCCAAGAGACAGGAUGUCAGGAGAGUCCUUGUGCCAAUCAAGAAAGAAAAUGUUAAUUUGGCGCAACGUUGAGUGAUAAAAUGUCUCUCAAAAGAAGGGAAAAGGACAAAGGAGAUGAAUUUUGGAACAAGCAGUUUAAGUGGGGUAGAGUGUCCAUUGAAGAAGACCAAACAAUGGAUGGUGGAAGCAACUUCCACAUAAAUGGGAAAGAAAAUUGAGGAUUUAAUUCUGUCAGACAGACUAAGGUUUCCCGAAUAGCUGAAGAAAUGGGCAACUUGGCAGUUAGUUUGGGGAAAAAUAAUUUGCAUGCACACAAGUUUCAGCUGGGCACCUAGUCGCUUUAUUCCUCCGUGUUCUUAAUGCAGAACUGUAAAACUGCACUAGAAAAAGCACCAGUCCCUACUGCACGGCCUGUCGCUUAUACUUGCAUAUGGCCAGUUUGGGACUUGUCAGGCACCCUAACCAGUAUGUCUUUGGAGUUGCAUGGAGAGAGUGCAGGUUUCACAUGGAUAGUGAGUAGAUGUAGAUUUUGAACCCAGGGUUACUUUUGGAUAGAAUUAAGUGCUUAACUCUUUUAGGGCGGAUGUCUACUUUUGUCGACUGGAGGAGUUGAGGACGCAUGUCGACAAAAGUCUACAUCCUGGGAUAGAAGGCGACAAUCAGCUGUUAAUGGUGACAAAACUCACUGUUAUGUUAAAGGUAUUCCCUCUCUGCUUGGAGGAAUGUUAGACUCAUUGCCUCUGCAUCUUACUAGCGUGUGCGUGAGUGUAAACAAAGGCAAGAUGGCAUCAACAUCUCACGAGGGAGCGAAGCAAGUGCAAAAAACAAAAUAAUUGGCAGAUGUUUUGCGUAUUAUCACUGACUCGGACUCUGAAUUUUCAGAAUCUGAUUUUGUUGAGAGUGAUCAGGAGAUUGAGCAAGAGAAUGAGGAACUGGCAUCGGCUGAUUGGACACCAGCCGAUGUCGCCACAGCUGAUCGGCUGCCAGCUGAUGCACCUACAGCAAGGUUCAUGUGGCAGGAGUACCCAGACAUUGAUCCGUGGGAGCCAAACUGGCUACCGGACUUCACAAGACGGCAUGGCUUGUUGUUGGACACGACAGAUUACCAGAUGCUGGACUACUUCAGGCUACUCAGCUACUGUCAGACGAGACGCAGGUAUGCAGAGCAAUUUUUUGAAUUGCAGGCUGCGCUUGCACCGCAUUCAUGCUUUUCAAAGUGGAAACCCACAACAAAAAAUGAGAUGAGGGGCUUUGUGGCAUUACAAAUAGAGAUGGGACUAGACUGGUGAUAAAACCUCAGGGAGAUUUGGUCCAAAUGUGCUUUGUCCCCUGGUGGCUUUGGACAGGUUAUGCCAUGUGAUAGGUACAUGCUGCUGCAAAGUUUUAUUCACUUCUGUGAUAACCAGAAGCAAAUCCCAAGGGGUGAGCCAGGCUAUAACCCCAUGUAUAAAGUUCAGCCCCUGCUUGACAUUGUGGAACCAACAUAUAAACAAUUUUAUCAACCUGGCCAUAAUUUGUCUGUGCAUGAAUCAAUGAUAAAAUACAAGGGACGCUUUUUUUUUUCCCCACUAGUAUAUGCCAGACAAGCCCACAAAGUAUGGUAUAAAGGAUUUUGUACUGGCAGAAGCAAACACUGGUUUCUGUCUGAAAGUAAUCACAUAUACAGGAAAGUUAUUUCUUUUGAAGAGAGAACUGUCCCUUGACAAGUCAAGUUGUGCUGGAGCUGCUUCGGGGCUAUGAACAUUUGGGUUUUGUUGUGUACAUGGACAAUUUUUGUACAUGCCCAGAAUUGUUCAUGGAGCUACAGAGCAGGGGAUUUGGAUGUUGUGGUACAGUGAGGGUGAACAGGAGACACAUGGCUUCAUAGUUGAAGCCAGACAGGCUGAAGAGGAAAAGAGGUGACAGUCCGGUUUUCAUGCGAAUGGAAAACUUGGUAUCAUUGGCAUGGCACAAUGUCAAACUGGUGAUUUGUCUCUCCACAGUACACACUAACAAUAUAUGUGAGAAAGUUAUUCGUCAAAAGGGAAACCCACAAGGUAGGAACCUGGACUAGCCAGUUGCACUUGAGGAAUAUAACUGUAAAAUGGCUGGAGUUGGUGUAUACCAUCGCAUGUGUGAGACUGCACUUACAAAUGGCUAUAUAUUGUUCAAGCAGGCAAGCGGUGACAGCACUACUGUAUUACUGCAGCAGAUUUCCGCAAGAAGGUAAUUGACAGCUUGCUGGCAGAGUAUGUUGCAGUGCCUUUAGCAAAGCAAGAAAGGCCAUCACAAAGAGCAGUACCAGACAGGCUGACUGAGCACCACUUGCCUGCAACAUAUGAGGACAAAAUAAUACAAACCUUGACUGUGUUGUGUGCAGCAACAGACAAUUGAAAAGGAGGCACCAGUGCAACACACAUUGUAAGCAGUGCAACAUGGCAAUGCAUGCAAUUAGCAGCUUUGAGCGAUAUCAUACUUUGCAGGACUUUGCUGUGCAACAUGUAUGUUAAACAUUGGUGACAUUGUGUGUGCAUCAUGUUUUUUGAUGAUUACACCCAGCUUAUCACACAGCCUGAAAUCUAAUCUGUAGGUUUCUUCCUCUAGGAGCAUUUUAUAGAAAGCAAAAUCCUAUAUUGUAAGAUCUCUCCUGUGUAAUAUGCCAAGUUUAGUAAGCUUGCUUUUGAAUAGAAACACGAAGAAGCAAGAUUUAAAUGUUUCUCCUGAUUUAAAUGAAGGGUUAAAGCCCCAGUCAUACACUAAAUGUGGAAAUACUGCACACUGGUAAUGUGUCAUAUUUUAUGUUAAAUUAUUUUUAUUUAUAGGAAGUAUGAAUAACGGCUAUGAUAAAAUAAGUGACUUGAAUAAGUAGUAAAGUGCCUUUGUUUUUGAUUCCUUGUCAACUGAUUCUUUUUGUAAAUAAUAAAUAUAUUUUUAUAAGAAGCAGA